CUACUACCUGACAUGCUAGGAAUCCCGCAGAGAUGUGGAGUGCUCGAAGAGAACCUGGACACAGGUGCUGCAUGGCUGUCGUCAGCUCGUGUCGUGAGAUGUGGGUUAAGUCCCGCAACGAGCGCAACCCUUGUCAUUAGUUGCUACGAAAGGGCACUCUAAUGAGACUGCCGGUGACAAACCGGAGGAAGGUGGGGAUGACGUCAAGUCCGCAUGGCCUUUAUAUCCUGGGCUACACACACGCUACAAUGGCCAACACAAUAGGUUGCUAAGCCGCGAGGUGGCGCCAAUCCAUAAAGUUGGUCUCAGUUCAGAUUGUAGGCUGCAACCCGCCUGCAUGAAGAUGGAGUUGCUAGUAACCGCAGGUCAGCUAUACUGCGGUGAAUACGUUCCGGGCUU
rnacentral:rRNA from 1 species